CUUACCCUGUGUCUCUACCCUCUCCCUCCAUCCUUUCCCUGUGUCUCUCCCCUCUCCCUCCCUCCUUUCCCUGUGUCUCUCCCCAUCUCUCUCCUCCCCUCCUCCUUCUAUUCCCCUCUCUGUUUCACUCUCUCUCCCCCCCCCCCUUUACCUUAGAGAAGUCAGAGGGGGCUGGCUGCUAAGUUGCGCCCUAGGCAGCUGCUUAGGUCGCCUUACAGGUAGCGCCGGCCCUGGCCAUAAGCCAUUUAUAUUCAAGGAUAUAAUCUUUCAAUGUAGGGUAAUAAAUGUUUGAUCCAAGGAUAAAUCUGACUGCCAUUCUGGGGUCAAGAAGGAAUUUUAUUCCUAGCUUGUUGCAAAAUUGUGCUUCAUACUGGGUUUUUUUGCCUUCUUUUGGAUCAACAGUAAAAAACAAAUGUGAGGAAGGCUG